GACGUCGAUAUUCGACGUCAUAAACACUAUCAACUUUGCUAUUUAUGACGUCGAUAUUCGACGUCAUGAACACGGUCAACUUUGCUGUUUAUGACGUCGAUAUUCGACGUCAUAAACACGAUCAACUUUGCUGUUUAUGACGUCGAUAUUCGACGUC